GGUAUCAAUCCUCCCUUGCCGUGUCAACCCUAUUUUCAAUGGUAUCUAUUGACAGCAGACACAAACCGUAAACCAAGACAGAAAAAGAUUGCUGAUUAAGAUUAGAUUAGUAGUGUACGUAAGAUGCAGUAGUUACUCACUCUAUUGUAGUACGCCGCUGCGCUGCGAACGACUGCGGUCACUCGUGGUGUGCAGGAACGCGAGGCUAUGCACGCGCUGCUCAAAUGCCGUUUGCGAUGGUUGUCGCGGCGAUUUGCUAGCAGAGUGACUGAAAUCUCAAGAGAGAACAUUUCUGUUCUUCAACCCAGCGACGUCGACGUAUUCUCCGACAUCGUAGCGAGCACAACGUUCUAACAGUGAAGGACGAGACGCAAUCAUACAAUGUCGACUAGCUCAACCUCUACCGCGGACACGCGUCGGCAGUGUUAAGACCCACGACGAUGGAACAAGUGUCGCUUGUGUUGAAGUACUGUAACGACCGCAAUCUGUUCGUGGUGCCCCAGGAGGGUACACGGGGCUAGUCGACGUCUCCUAUGAAUAGAGUAAUUCAUUUUAACGGUGCAUCGGGAGUUCUGACAUGUCAAGCCGGAUGCAUUCUUCAGAACUUGGAUGCGUUAUUGGAAGGGAGAGGUCACGUGAUGCCUCUGGAUCUCAGAGCGAAAGGAAGCUGUCAGAUAGGAGGGAAUGUGGCUACAAAUGCGGGAGGGAUUUGUUUGUUGCGCUAUGGUUUACUUGGCGGAAGUGUUCUGGGUGUCCAGGCCGUUCACAUGUCAAGGUGUAUUAGUUCACAACUCUGAGCAGAAGAAAAUGACUUUCGACUAAUAUGGCGACAUCAAAUACUCUGAUGUUGAGCCCAGUUACCUGCCAUCACAAUUCGAGAUUGUCUUCAUCAAAGAGAAUGUCAGCAAGUCUGGUCAUGUCGUUUGUAUACGCUGCCACGCCCUUUGGUCCGCACUAAAACUACUUUGUGGCUCUGAAGGGCAGUGGUGAAGAAAUGAAAUUUACAGUAGAGAAUGCUGGAACUGACGCGAUUCCUACAGAUGAAUUUUUUAUUUUACUAUGAGCUAUGAUUCCUAUUCCAAAGUGCAUCGUUUCCAAGUGCUAUCCGGUGAUUCUCGAUACCUUGCAUUUGAUUCCCAAGGAGUUCAAGCGACUAUUACAGACAAAGACUCAGACAGCACAGUCUUUGACUUAUUAAUGUGAUCAUAGUAGUUUGAUCGAUGAGGGUAUGUCAAUCGAUUUACAUAAAAGUGCUUUUAAAGCGUCUGUUUUGAUGGAUUUAAUAGUUCUUACUUUUUGCUGAUUAGCUAAGCUUAUUUAGUUAACUGAAUUGCCGUGAACUGAACAUUGAAUAAAAGAGAAUUGCUUUGCUA